rnacentral:rRNA from 1 species
GAUGAACGCUGGCGGCGUGCCUAAUACAUGCAAGUCGAGCGGUAACACUUCGGGUGACGAGCGGCGGACGGCUGAGUAACGCGUAGGAACGUACCCCAAACUGAGGGAUAAGCACCAGAAAUGGUGUCUAAUACCGCAUAUGGUCUUCGGAUUAAAGCUUCGGCGGUUUGGGAACGGCCUGCGUAUGAUUAGCUUGUUGGUGAGGUAAAAGCUCACCAAGGCGACGAUCAUUAGCUGGUCUGAGAGGAUGAUCAGCCAGACUGGGACUGAGACACGGCCCAGACUCCUACGGGAGGCAGCAGUAGGGAAUCUUCCACAAUGGGCGAAAGCCUGAUGGAGCAACGCCGCGUGCAGGAUGAAAGCCUUCGGGUCGUAAACUGCUUUUAUAUGCGAUGACUUCGACGGUAGCAUAUGAAUAAGGAUCGGCUAACUCCGUGCCAGCAGCCGCGGUCAUACGGAGGGUCCGAAGCGUUAUCCGGAAUUACU